UACGUGAAGGUGUUCAGGGAUAAACCUGAGAAGCCCGAAAGAUCGAACGGGGAGAUUCAUGCGCGAUUCGCCAACACCAACAACCCCGUAACUUUUAGGGUCUUGAGCAGCCUCUAUGCAUUUCGGUGUGUAUGCCAAUGUUCUCGUACUCGGUUCGGAGCUAGUUGUUGUGUUGCGAGCGUGUGCACUUCUCCUCCGGUAGGACGUUGCGACUCGUUGGGUGCCGGUCUAAGGCCCGGUGUGGAGCCCAUUGCGUUUGGCAUUUAUUUGUCUUGCGUAGUGGACCAUCGGUGUUCCCGACCGGCCCGCUUGACGGUAUUGAGAUGGCGCGGGGCCGCGACUUGUUCGCGCUCAGCCCGUCGCAAGCACACUCGGUUCUUACCAUGGAGCCACGGACCUAGUGCCGUGCCCUGGCCCGAGUGGCUGUUCGCGACGGUGUCCUUGAGCAGACUCCGAUACACACGCCGGUCAGCGACGAUACUGAUUUGGGUAAUUUCAGGGCCCGUCUUGAAACACGGACCAAGGAGUCUAGCAUGUGCGCGAGUCAUUGGGUACUCUAGCAAGCCCCACAGGCGAAAUGAAAGUAAAACAUUGUUUAAUUAUAUAUUGAAUGAUUGAAGGGAAGAUGGGCUGUGUCGCGGCACGGCCUCGCACUCCCGGGGCGUCUCAAUAUCGCAUUGCGCGAUGAGGCGCACCUAGAGCGUACAUGCUGGUACCCGAAAGAUGGUGAACUAUGCCUGGUCAGGACGAAGUCAGGGGAAACCCUGAUGGAGGUCCGUAGCGAUUCUGACGUGCAAAUCGAUCGUCUG
rnacentral:rRNA from 1 species